GUUGCAGUUCCUGGAAUUAAGUUGACUGUGUAGCCUGUGAGGGCAAGGCUUGAAUAAUGCUCCUGAAGUCAGCAACUUGAUUCCAGCAAUUGCGGCCCGA